rnacentral:rRNA from 1 species
CAAAACAUGGCUUCAUGAAUUAUUUAAGAUAUGAAGUCGGACCUGCCCAGUGAAAUUUUUAACGGCCGCGGUACUCUGACCGUGCAAAGGUAGCAUAAUCAUUUGCCUUAUAAUUAAAGGCUGGAAUGAAUGGUUUGACAAGAAUAUAACUGUCUCUUUAUGAUUUAACAGAAUUUUAUUUUAGGAUGAAAAAGUCCUGAUUAAAUUAAAAGACAAGAAGACCCUAUCGAGCUUAAAAAGAAUUAGCAAAAAUAUAUCUAUUCAGCCUAAAAGAUUGGUUGCUAAAAAUUUUGGUUGGGGCAACCUAGGAGCAAAAAAAGCCUCCUCUAAAGGCUAUUAGACGUGCCAGUAUCGAUCCAAAAUUUUUGAUUGAAAGAAAUAGUUACCGUAGGGAUAACAGCAUUAUCUUUUUUGAGAGCUCUUAUCGAAAAAAAGGUUUGUGACCUCGAUGUUGGACCAGAAUGUCCUAAAGAUGCAGAAGUCUUUAAGGGUUGGUCUGUUCGACCAUUAAAAUUCUACGUGAUC